GACGAACGCUGGCGGCGUGCCUAAUACAUGCAAGUUGAGCGCUGAAGGUUGGUACUUGUACCCACUGGAUGAGCAGCGAACGGGUGAGUAACGCGUGGGGAAUCUGCCUUUGAGCGGGGGACAACAUUUGGAAACGAAUGCUAAUACCGCAUAAAAACUUUAAACACAAGUUUUAAGUUUGAAAGAUGCAAUUGCAUCACUCAAAGAUGAUCCCGCGUUGUAUUAGCUAGUUGGUGAGGUAAAGGCUCACCAAGGCGAUGAUACAUAGCCGACCUGAGAUGGGGAUCGGCCACCUUGGGACUGAGACACGGCCCAAACUCCUACGGGAGGCAGCAGUAGGGAAUCUUCGGCAAUGGACGAAAGUCUGACCGAGGAACGCCGCGUGAGUGAAGAAGGUUUUCGGAUCGUAAAACUCUGUUGGUAGAGAAGAACGCUGGUGAGAGUGGAAAGCUCAUCAAGUGACGGUAACUACCCAGAAAGGGACGGCUAACUACGUG
rnacentral:rRNA from 1 species